rnacentral:rRNA from 1 species
UACAGAGGAUGCAAGCGUUAUCCGGAAUGAUUGGGCGUAAAGCGUCUGUAGGUGGCUUUUUAAGUCCGCCGUCAAAUCCCAGGGCUCAACUCUGGACAGGCGGUGGAAACUACCAAGCUGGAGUACGGUAGGGGCAGAGGGAAUUUCCGGUGGAGCGGUGAAAUGCGUAGAGAUCGGAAAGAACACCAACGGCGAAAGCACUCUCGCUGGGCCGAACACUGACACUGGAGAGACGAAGCUAGGGGAGCGAAUGGGAUUAGAUACCCUAGA